rnacentral:rRNA from 1 species
GGACUACCCGGGUAUCUAAUCCUGUUUGAUCCCCUUGCUCUCGCGCCUCAGCGUCAGGCAUAAGCUAGAGAACCGCUUUCGCCACCGGUGUUCUUCCACAUAUCUACGCAUUUCACCGCUACACGUGGAAUUCCGUUCUCUCCGCCAAUCCUCAAGUUAUGUAGUUUCAUAUGCAGCUCCGAAAUUGAGUUUCGGAAUUUCACAUCUGACUUACAUACCCGCCUACGCGCCCUUUACGCCCAAUAAUUCCGAUUAAUGCUUGCACCCUCCGUAUUACCGCGGCUGCUGGCAC